CCGUUGCCGGCGACCGGCGCACGGGUGAGUAACACGUAUGCAACCUGCCCGUGGCAGGGGGAGUAAGCGGGGGAAACCCCGUCUAAUACCGCGUAACGCGGCCUUGGGGCAUCCCCAAGGCCGCCAAAGGGAGCAAUCCCGGCCACGGAUGGGCAUGCGGCGCAUUAGCUAGUCGGCGGGGUAACGGCCCACCGAGGCGACGAUGCGUAGGGGUUCUGAGAGGAAGGCCCCCCACACUGGUACUGAGACACGGACCAGACUCCUACGGAAGGCAGCAG
rnacentral:rRNA from 1 species